AUUAAUUUAAAUAUUAAUUGAUUAAUUAAUUUAAUUAAUUAUUAAUUGAUUUUAAUUGAUUAAUUAUUUGGAUUUAAUUAUCCUUUUUGAUUUAAAAAUUCUGAAAAAUAGUUUCGAGCUUUAAAAUAUUUUUCCAAAUUAUUUUCAAGGCUCGAUAAUUGUUUAUGAAUGAUUUCAAGUCCAAUUUCAAGUAUUUGGGACUUGAUUAUUUAUUCGAAAAGUGAUUCUUUUAUCGAUUUUAAUUCCGAAAAAUGUUUAAAAAUUCUGGAAAAUUCCCGAAAAAUCAUUUUUAACCCAAGAGUUGAUUUGAUAUCAAUUGGGGUGGGAAACCUUAUGUGUAAUGUGUUGUCUGUUAUCUGUUUGAUGUGUUAUGUGCCGAUAGAGGAGUUAGAAAACGGUUUUGAUCAUAACUUUUGAUCCGUAAGUCGGAAUCAAGUGAAACGAAAGAGAGACAGAAGCUUAUAAAGUCUAGUUUGAUAUGACAUAAUAUUAUGAUGGAGUCGAGAAUCUGAAUAAUUUUUGUUAAAUGUGCAAAAUGUGAUUAUAUGUUAUUUGGUUGCUAUUAACUAAUGACUACGUGAUAUACAUGUUUAUUCAUGAUAGUAUAUGCGUGUGAUAAAUGAUUUGGAUGACAUAGUGUCGUGAGUUGAUUGAUAUUGGAUAAGAAUAUAUGGAUUAUAGUGAUUGGAUCUUGUUGGUUGAUUGUUGAUUGAGAUAGGAUAACAGGUGGAUAGUCUAAUAAAUAGACGAGACGAUGUCGGAUUUUCGAUAGGAUUCAUAUGAUAAUUGAUUGGUGAUAUGUUAUGUGGAAUAUGAUUGACUAUAUGUAAGAGUCAAAGCAUGCUUAUGUGUUACGUGGUAUGUGAUAGGUUUAAAGGGGUAUAUAAGUGGGUAUCGAUAUACGUGAUAUGUAUAUGCGAUAUAUUGCUUAGUGACUAUAGCAUUAUCUUAUUCUCGUAAAGGAUUUGGACGAGACGUGUACGCUCGAAGACGUCAGAAAGUCGGAAUGGUAUUGCAAAGCGAAUAAGGGAUGAUUGAGUAAGCGAAGCGAAGUGGCGAAUAGAGUAUAGCUAGAGAUGGUCUAGAGAUUACGAGAUGCAUAGAUUGUGAAAGUUGAAAGAUGAGGUUGAGCUAUGAAACUGGAGUCAGAUUUAAGAAAGGCUUAAAGAUGAGAUGAUUGAUUGAGAUUGUGAGUAAGGCUAAUGCUAGGCGAGGAGACAGAGUUGAGGAUCCAGUGGUCGAGGAGUGUUCAGGAAAGUUGAUGAGGUUGGUGCAAGCUGGAAUAGUUGACAGUGAUUCUUCUUAUCGAAGAUGAUCUGAUUUGGUAAGAGAUGUUGUGUAAUAAUAGUGGUAGAUUCUAAUUUCAAUACUGUAACCUGGAUGCGAUCCUGUUGCUUUUAGGGGGUUUAAAUGUUCUCUUUCGAAUCAUUUAUUAAAGUUUAAAUGUUCUCUUGAAA